GAUGAACGCUGGCGGCGUGCCUAAUACAUGCAAGUCGAGCGAACAGACGAGGAGCUUGCUCCUCUGAUGUUAGCGGCGGACGGGUGAGUAACACGUGGAUAACCUACCUAUAAGACUGGGAUAACUUCGGGAAACCGGAGCUACUACCGGAUAAUAUAUUGAACAGCAUGGUUCAAUAGUGAAAGACGGUUUUGCUGUCACUUAUAGAUGGAUCCGCGCCGCAUUAGCUAGUUGGUAAGGUAACGGCUUACCAAGGCAACGAUGCGUAGCCGACCUGAGGGGGUGAUCGCCCACACUGGAACUUGGACACGGUCCAGGCUCCUACGGGAGGCAGCAGUAGGGUAUCUUCCGCAAUGGGCGAAAGCCUGGCGGAGCAACGCCGCGUGAGUGAUGAAGGUCUUCGGAUCGUAAAACUCUGUUAUUAGGGAAGAACAAAUGUGUAAUUAACUAUGCACGUCUUGACGGUACCUAAUCAGAAAGCCACGGCUAACUACGUG
rnacentral:rRNA from 1 species